UUCUUCGGGGCAGGGUGAGAUUCCCGACCGGCGGUAUGCGAAAAACGCGAGCCCGCGAGCCGAACAGGCAUGAUCCGGUGAGAAUCCGGAGCCGACAGUACAGUCUGGAUGUGAGAAGAA
rnacentral:ncRNA from 1 species